CUCUCUUUAUGUAGUGUUGUGUUGUCUCUCUUUAUGUAGUGUUGUGGUCUCUCUUUAUGUAGUGUUGUGUUGUCUCUCUUUAUGUAGUGUUGUGGUCUCUCUUUAUGUAGUGUUGUGUUGUCUCUCUUUAUGUAGUGUUGUGGUGUCUCUCUUUAUGUAGUGUUGUUGUCUCUCUUUAUGUAGUGUUGUGUUGUCUCUCUUUAUGUAGUGUUGUGGUGUCUCUCUUUAAGUAGUGUUGUGUUGUCUCUCUUUAUGUAGUGUUGUGUUGUCUCUCUUUAUGUAGUGUUGUUGUCUCUCUUUAUGUAGUGUUGUGUUGUCUCUCUUUAUAUAGUGUUGUGGUCUCUCUUUAUGUAGUGUUGUGGUGUCUCUCUUUAUGUAGUGUUGUGGUGUCUCUCUUUAUGUAGUGUUGUGGUGUCUCUCUUUAUGUAGUGUUGUUGUCUCUCUUUAUGUAGUGUUGUGUUGUCUCUCUUUAUGUAGUGUUGUGUUGUCUCUCUUUAUGUAGUGUUGUGGUGUCUCUCUUUAUGUAGUGUUGUGGUGUCUCUCUUUAUGUAGUGUUGUGUUGUCUCUCUUUAUGUAGUGUUGUGGUGUCUCUCUUUAUGUAGUGUUGUGUUGUCUCUCUUUAUGUAGUGUUGUGUUGUCUCUCUUUAUGUAGUGUUGUGUUGUCUCUCUUUAUGUAGUGUUGUGGUGUCUCUCUUUAUGUAGUGUUGUGUUGUCUCUCUUUAUGUAGUGUUGUGUUGUCUCUCUUUAUGUAGUGUUGUGUUGUCUCUCUUUAUGUAGUGUUGUGGUGUCUCUCUUUAUGUAG